UUGCGGCGAAGCGAGCGGCGGGGAAGGGGAGAGGGGCGGCGAGGCCAGAUCCGGGGGGCCAGGCAGAUCCGCGCACCUCGGGAGACCUUGGUGGCCUUGUCCUUGAUGACGGUGACCUCGUCGACGGCGGCUACCUCGCGGAACAAGGCGAGCAGGUCGGCCUCGGCCAUGUGCUUGGGCACCUGGCCCACGAAGAGCUUGACGGUCCUCUCCUCGCCGCCCUCCUUGGCUCCUCCGCCUCCUGCCUCCGCCGCGGCCGCAGACGCCGCCGCGGCCUUGCCCCCGUCCUCCGCCAUUGGACGCUCUGCCUCCCGCCGCUAGUGUUUCCGCCGGCCGGACCGGAGGAUUGCUCGCCGCCGCCGCCGCCGCCGCUACGGGGGGGUUGGGUCGCCUCGUCACGAGCUGUGGGCGGUUGCGCUGCCAAUUGUUUUUUUGGGUUUAGGUUGUGGUGGAAGAGGCGAUGGAGUUGAAGGCGUCGGAAGCGGAGCAGUUUAACUAAUAAUAAUUGCCUAGUGGAUAUGCAUGCCUGCAGUUGGACUGGACACUCCCCU
rnacentral:misc_RNA from 1 species